rnacentral:lncRNA from 1 species
UGGAUCUGGAGAAGAUGUGAUGGGUUGUUGGACUAUGAAGAAAAUAAAGUGUUGAAACUCCUGUUGGUGUUACUGCUCUGCUGGAACUUUGAGUCUGCUGUGCUGGAAGUAGCUUAUUAGAUGUUGCUGUUGCUGGUAGUGCUGGAUUAAAGGCUGCUAUGAUUUCUCAGCCACAACUGGUGCUGCCAUGGUUGUUAUGGACAGAGGAGCUGAAGGUGUGGAGAGAUCGGUUGCUGUUUAGUCGCUGUGAAUAGAAGGAAAAUAUGGAUCCUGGUGCUGUGUUGUGAUGCUAGUGUUGCUCUACUGGAACAAGGGAGGUAAGUUGCAGCUGGAGGCUGUGCUGUUGUUUGCUGUGGAGAAGCUACGCUGGUGAAGAGCUAUAUAUAUGGCUGAGAAGACAACAGUGCAGCCGUUCCUGGCGUAGAAAAGAAGAAGCUGCUGUCCGAUGGAUGUGAGCUGGUGGAGGAGAUGUCAGUGCUGGAACCUCUGGAACUUUGUUGCAGGGACUGCCAUUUAAAAGAGGUGAGGGAGAGGUAGAAAACAUUGAUUUCAGCAAAAAGGAAGGAAAAAGUGGAAAAUCGUGCUGCUGGGUUUCUGAACCUGGUCUUUGGAUUGUAAAGAGAUGGUAGCUUAUAACCGUUUCCUCUGUUGUUGCUCUCGGUUAAGAUUUUUUUGUGUUCCAAUCUUCUUCUCCAGGAACAAAGCUGCAGGCGAGGUGAUCUAAAUGGCCAACUGAUGUUGUGUUUAUGGCUACUGAGGAAAUAGAAAAGAAGAGCUGGGCUUGCUUUGAACUGGAAUAGCGAAGCGGCUGGUGUUUGUUGCUAGUGGCGUGGUGUUGUUUCUGGGUGCUGGAAAAAUUAAGGAGAAGGCUGAUGCAGUCCUGGCUAUGGGAUAGUGUUUAUGGUAGUCCUCCCCCAGUUUUUUGGGUUAGGGUUUUGUAAGAUAUUUACGGGAGAAAUGGGAAGGUUUUAGAGUUCAUGGUUUAAUGGGAUCUCGAUGCUUGAUGCUGAAGAAUAAAUUUCAUCCUUUCAUUAAAGCUAAGGACAAAAACUUCUCCUGCUCUGCAACUAAUAAAAAAGACACAAGACUGUUUUUCCUCGCAAAACAGUGCUAGGUAGUGUUUUUGGAAGAUAAUUGACAGGUGUUUUUAAAAUAAUAAGAGCUGAAAUUAUGG